rnacentral:rRNA from 1 species
AGUGAACGCUGGCGGUAGGCCUAACACAUGCCAGUCGAACGGCAGCACAGUAAGAGCUUGCUCUUACGGGUGGCGAGUGGCGGACGGGUGAGGAAUACAUCGGAAUCUACUUUUUCGUGGGGGAUAACGUAGGGAAACUUACGCUAAUACCGCAUACGACCUACGGGUGAAAGCAGGGGAUCUUCGGACCUUGCGCGAUUGAAUGAGCCGAUGUCGGAUUAGCUAGUUGGCGGGGUAAAGGCCCACCAAGGCGACGAUCCGUAGCUGGUCUGAGAGGAUGAUCAGCCACACUGGAACUGAGACACGGUCCAGACUCCUACGGGAGGCAGCAGUGGGGAAUAUUGGACAAUGGGCGCAAGCCUGAUCCAGCCAUACCGCGUGGGUGAAGAAGGCCUUCAGGUUGUAAAGCCCUUUUGUUGGGAAAGAAAAGCAGCAGGUUAAUACCCCGCUGUUCUGACGGUACCCAAAGAAUAAGCACCGGCUAACUUCGUG